GACGAACGCUGGCGGCGUGCUUAGCACAUGCAAGUCGAACGGAAAGGCCCCUUUGGGGGUACUCGAGUGGCGAACGGGUGAGUAACACGUGAGUAACCUGCCCUUGACUUCGGGAUAACUUCAGGAAACUGGGGCUAAUACCGGAUAGGAAUCCUUGCUGCAUGGUGGGGGUUGGAAAGCUUCGGCGGUUUUGGAUGGACUCGCGGCUUAUCAGCUUGUUGGUGGGGUAGUGGCUUACCAAGGCUUUGACGGGUAGCCGGCCUGAGAGGGCGACCGGCCACAUUGGGACUGAGAUACGGCCCAGACUCCUACGGGAGGCAGCAGUGGGGAAUAUUGCACAAUGGGCGGAAGCCUGAUGCAGCAACGCCGCGUGCGGGAUGACGGCCUUCGGGUUGUAAACCGCUUUCAGCAGGUGCGAAGCUUGUGGUGACGGUACCUGCAGAAGAAGCACCGGCUAACUACGUG
rnacentral:rRNA from 1 species